AGGAAUCGAUCAAGAACAUGAGCACAAGGGAAACCCUUGCUUCAAAGAAAUCAAGUAAUUAAACUCGAAAUUGAGGGAUAAUCCACUGCAUGAACAUCAAAUAACAUUCUACUGAACUCAAUUAUUGAAGUGUAGGUGUAAAAGAAGAAAGCUCAAACGUUAGGAAAGCAGAAGACGCGCAAGAUGGAGGUAAAACCUCGGCAUAAUAGCUUGGCGACUUGGAACGAACACACUCGAUUCAUGCCCACCUAGCGCUUCCGAAGAUGUUUAGUUUUGUAUGGUUCUAGUUUUUGGUAGUAUGUAUUUUCAACAUGUGUGGUUUUUAGUUGUCCUUACAUUUUGGCAAAAACUUAGUUAGUAUGUUGAUUUUGUAUCUAGAUCUUUUAAACUUGUCCGUUUUGGUUUUGAAAAUGGUUGUGUAUGAAAA